GUGGGGAAUAUUGGACAACGGGGGCAACCCUGAUCCAGCCAUGCCGCGUGAGUGAAGAAGGCCCUCGGGUUGUAAAGCUCUUUUGUCCGGAAAGAAAAGCUUCGGGUUAAUACCCCGGGGUUCUGACGGUACCGGAAGAAUAAGCACCGGCUAACUUCGUGCCGGCAGCCGCGGUAAUACGAAGGGUGCAAGCGUUACUCGGAAUUACUGGGCGUAAAGCGUGCGUAGGUGGUUGUUUAAGUCUGAUGUGAAAGCCCUGGGCUCAACCUGGGGAUGGCACUGGCAGGUGGGUAGCUAGAGUGCGGUAUAGGGAAGGGGAAUUCCCGGUGUAGCAGUGAAAUGCGUAGAGAUCGGGAGGAACAUCUGUGGCGAAGGCGACUGCCUGGACCAGCACUGACACUGAGGCA
rnacentral:rRNA from 1 species